CAGCCGCCGCGGGAAUACGAAGGGGGCUAGCGUUGCUCGGAAUUACUGGGCGUAAAGCGUGCGUAGGCGGUUUGUUAAGUCUGCUGUGAAAUCCCCGGGCUCAACCUGGGAAUGGCAGUGGAUACUGGCAAGCUAGAGUGUGUCAGAGGAUGGUGGAAUUCCCGGUGUAGCUGUGAAAUGCGUAGAGAUCGGGAGGAACACCAGUGGCGAAGGCGGCUACCUGGACAGAUACUGACGCUGAGGCGCGAGAGCGUGGGGAGCAAACAGGAUUAGAUACCCCCGUAGUCCCUGUCUCUUAUAC
rnacentral:rRNA from 1 species